rnacentral:rRNA from 1 species
UGGGGAAUAUUGGACAAUGGGCGCAAGCCUGAUCCAGCCAUGCCGCGUGAGUGAUGAAGGCCCUAGGGUUGUAAAGCUCUUUUGUGCGGGAAGAUAAUGACUGUACCGCAAGAAUAAGCCCCGGCUAACUUCGUGCCAGCAGCCGCGGUAAUACGAAGGGGGCUAGCGUUGCUCGGAAUCACUGGGCGUAAAGGGUGCGUAGGCGGGUCUUUAAGUCAGGGGUGAAAUCCUGGAGCUCAACUCCAGAACUGCCUUUGAUACUGAGGAUCUUGAGUUCGGGAGAGGUGAGUGGAACUGCGAGUGUAGAGGUGAAAUUCGUAGAUAUUCGCAAGAACACCAGUGGCGGAGGCGGCUCACUGGCCCGAUACUGACGCUGAGGCACGAAAGCGUGGGGAGCAAACA